rnacentral:lncRNA from 1 species
CAGAACUGUGCUUUCUAGCCACUUUCUCCAUCUCUAACACUAACUAGCAAUCACUGACAAAGUUAACAUUUUUAGAGAGAAAAAUUGAGCUAACAAGUUAUCCCGUUUUAGAAUUCUACUGCCACCCCUGCCACAUCAACACCUACCUACUGAUAAGCCUGUUUAGAGUCCAUUGGGAGCUCUUUAACGGUUUUUAACACUAAUUAGCCAAAACCUUCUUAAAACAGGUAGAAAGAACAGGCCCUUAUCGCCUACAUUUUGGGAGUUUUUCAAGACCUUAAUAUGAAUGGUUGAUUUCCUUCUUCUUUAGGAACCUCAGGAGAAACACUGCCUUGGAGUUCCUUGAAGUAGUCCUUGACGUUUACCAACUGGUUAUAAAUGUCUUCUCUUCUGCUCUCCUUGGCUACUGCUUGCCAUCUAGUGCUGGGCUGUCUUGAUAUCUGUUGGCAGUGUUUGAAUGUCCUUCCAUGCUGAUCAGGACUCUGGAGUCAGCUACUCAGGAGCAGUGUGGUCCAAGAAAGUCCCACUAUAGGAAAAACUUCAGAGAGGAUGCCAUUCUGAACCAAUGAGAACCCUCAUAUGAUCAAGAACGUCUUUGUAUGUAGAAGACUUUAUUGGAAGAAGACAAGAGUCACAUCAAACCUGCUCCCGGGGACUGAGAAGGCAAACUUGUUGCUAGAGCAGCACCUGAAACUGUCUAUGACCAAAUACUUGACAAGAAGCAACUUACAGAAGAAAAUACUGGGGCUGGAGAUUAGCUUAGUCAGUAGAAUGCUUUCCCAGCAUGCAUGAAGCCCUGGGUCCAAUCCCCAGCCCCACACAAAAGCAGAAGGAUCAGAAGUGCAUUGCUCUGGUAGCCAGCUUAGAACAGGCGAGACCCUUUAUAGGGUGGAGAGAUCUAUUUUGGCACAUGGAGUAGCCCAUCCAUCUCUGUUGGGAAAAUAUUUUCCAACUGGCAAAAGAUGUGGUACAGGCAUAGUG